AGAGAGGAGCAAUACAGAUCCAAACAUGUUCAUCGUGAACUACACCGGUGACCACACCCACCCUCGUCCCAUACAUAGAAACUCACUCGCCGGGAGUACCAGAAACAAAUUCCUAAGCACCCAAAAGCCUGCUAACAAGAGAUCGGAGGAGCCAAGUGCUGGAAAGGCUCCCUGCUCGUCUCCCCUUUCGGCGACAAGUCUCUCUCCAACAACCCCACUGUCAG
rnacentral:misc_RNA from 1 species